rnacentral:rRNA from 1 species
CCCGCUGAACUUAAGCAUAUCAAUAAGCGGAGGAAAAGAAACUAACAAGGAUUCCCCUAGUAACUGCGAGUGAAGCGGGAAGAGCUCAAAUUUAAAAUCUGACAGUCUCUGAUUGUUCGAGUUGUAAUCUAGAGAAGCAUUAUCCGCACUGGACUGUGUACAAGUCUUCUGGAAUGGAGCAUCGUAGAGGGUGAGAAUCCCGUCUUUGACACAGACUACCAGAGCUUUGUGAUGUGCUCUCAAAGAGUCGAGUUGUUUGGGAAUGCAGCUCUAAAUGGGUGGUAAAUUCCAUCUAAAGCUAAGUAUUGGCGAGAGACCGAUAGCGAACAAGUACCGUGAGGGAAAGAUGAAAAGAACUUUGGAAAGAGAGUUAAACAGUACGUGAAAUUGUUGAAAGGGAAACGCUUGAAGUCAGUCGUGUUGGUCAGGAAUCAACCUUGCUUUUUUGCUUGGUGCACUUUCUGUUCCAACAGGUCAGCAUCAAUUUUGACCAGUGGAAAAAAGUUGAGUGAAUGUGGCAUCUUUAGAUGUGUUAUAGCACUUGAUUGCAUGCAUUGGUUGGGAUUGAGGUAUUCAGCACGCCGAAAGGCCGGAUUUUUACAUCACGCUCGUGCUUAGGAUGCUGGCAUAAUGGCUUUAAUCGACCCGUCUUGAAACACGG